CUUCUGCAACCCAAAGAUGCACCAGGAUUGGACUAUUGAGCAGGUAGCUGCUUUUCUUUUCUGCUUAGGACAACAAUUACUAAGAAUGGAAGGACACCUGAUGUAUUUACUGUACACAAUUUCCAGGUUUAUCCAUACAAUAAACUCUGAAAUGAGCAGAGCAAGAAUUACUAUGGAAGAAAAGGAGAGGCUGAGAAGUGUCUAACGUCUGAUAACCAGUGAGAGAGCCAGGCAAAAGGUCAAUACCUUUUGUAUUGCAUUGGACUAUCUUUCUACUGUGAUGCUUGGCAAAAGGAGAUGGUAAAAGACAGGGAAGUUUGAUGGAAGGAUGGAGCGUGCGAGUGAGCAAAGACUGGAACAAUAUGCAUGUCCUCAGUUCCUCCCAUCCACAGAGAGCAUUCGAGAUGCCCCAUUAGCCCAGCAUGUCAAAGGGUCCAUGAUUGCCUGGGAGUUCAGCAACACUCAAAGGUAG